UUUAUGGUUAGAUAGUAAUAUCUAAUUCAGAUAAAUGUUCAAGAACUUUGCCUUCCUCAUAUGUACCAGUCCAAACAGAGAGAGGAAGACCUCCUCUAGCUCCUCCAGCCCCCACAUCUCCCGCUUCUUCCCAGGUGCCACUUCCCCUCAGCCUCUGGGACAAUUGUGAAUUGGUUACCUCCAUCUUGCUUCCCCUCAGGCCUGAGAUUGAAGUGGAUUGAGAAUAGUCACUUCAUUCAGGGAGGACGGAACACACGUGACAAUUAACAGCAUUAACCUCUACAGCAUUGGUCUGCAUUUCUGUUCAAAAAUUGACGGUAAGUUGACUCAAUAAGUUAAAGUUAAUGCUGUCUCAACUCCCUCUUUCAUUUUUCAAUUCAACCGACAAAAUUUCUUUGAAUUACAAUCAGUGGAGAGCUAAAAACAGACGGGACAUUUAUUAAUGCCUUUGACAACUGUUAGUUCCAAUUUGCAUCAUUCUUUGAAACUUGGUACAUUGUGCUGUUAUUCCCCAACAGAUUAAUCUGUAAGAUGUGGGUGGAACUUCAGCACGGUGACUGCACCUGCUUAAGCUCCCAGGAAUUGUUACAUUUUAACAGGCA
rnacentral:lncRNA from 1 species